rnacentral:rRNA from 1 species
AGUGAACGCUGGCGGUAGGCCUAACACAUGCAAGUCGAACGGCAGCACAGUAAGAGCUUGCUCUUAUGGGUGGCGAGUGGCGGACGGGUGAGGAAUAAAUCGGAAUCUACUUUUUCGUGGGGGAUAACGUAGGGAAACUUACGCUAAUACCGCAUACGACCUACGGGUGAAAGCAGGGGAUCUUCGGACCUUGCGCGAUUGAAUGAGCCGAUGUCGGAUUAGCUAGUUGGCGGGGUAAAGGCCCACCAAGGCGACGAUCCGUAGCUGGUCUGAGAGGAUGAUCAGCCACACUGGAACUGAGACACGGUCCAGACUCCUACGGGAGGCAGCAGUGGGGAAUAUUGGACAAUGGGCGCAAGCCUGAUCCAGCCAUACCGCGUGGGUGAAGAAGGCCUUCGGGUUGUAAAGCCCUUUUGUUGGGAAAGAAAAGCAGCAGGUUAAUACCCCGCUGUUCUGACGGUACCCAGAGAAUAAGCACCGGCUAACUUCGUG